UACGGAGGAUGCAAGCGUUAUCCGGAAUUAUUGGGCGUAAAGCGUCCGCAGGCGGCUUAUCAAGUCUGCUGUUAGAGGUCGGGGCUAAACUCCGGUUAGGCAGUGGAAACUGAUAGGCUAGAGUGUGGUAGGGGUAGAGGGAAUUCCCAGUGUAGCGGUGAAAUGCGUAGAUAUUGGGAAGAACACCAGUGGCGAAGGCGCUCUACUGGGCCACAACUGACGCUGAGGGACGAAAGCUAGGGGAGCUAAAGGG
rnacentral:rRNA from 1 species